AACGCGAAGAACCUUACCUACCCUUGACAUGUCCUGAACCCUGGUGAGAGCUGGGGGUGCCCGAAAGGGAACGGGAACACAGGUGCUGCAUGGCUGUCGUCAGCUCGUGUCGUGAGAUGUUGGGUUAAGUCCCGCAACGAGCGCAACCCUUGUCCUUAGUUGCUACAUUAAGUUGGGCACUCUAGGGAGACUGCCGGUGACAAACCGGAGGAAGGUGGGGAUGACGUCAAGUCCUCAUGGCCCUUAUGGGUAGGGCUUCACACGUCAUACAAUGGCCGGUACAGAGGGUUGCCAAAGCGCGAGCUGGAGCCAAUCCCAGAAAGCCGGUCGUAGUCCGGAUUGCAGUCUGCAACUCGACUGCAUGAAGUCGGAAUCGCUAGUAAUCGCGGAUCAGCAUGUCGCGGUGAAUACGUUCCCGGGCCUUGUACACACCGCGAGC
rnacentral:rRNA from 1 species